UGUGGAUAGCGGAGAAAUUCCAAUCGAACUCGGAGAUAGCUGGUUCUCCCCGAAAUAGCUUUAGGGCUAGCGUCGGAUAUGUGUAGUGGAGGUAGAGCACUGAAUGGGCUAGGGGGCAUAUCGCUUACCGAACCUUAUCAAACUCCGAAUGCCAUAUACAUUAAGUCCGGCAGUCAGACUACGAAUGAUAAGAUCCGUGGUCAAAAGGGAAACAGCCCAGACCGUCAGCUAAGGUCCCAAAGUGUAAGUUAAGUGGAAAAGGAUGUGGGAUUUCUAAGACAACUAGGAUGUUGGCUUAGAAGCAGCCACUCAUUUAAAGAGUGCGUAAUAGCUCACUAGUCGAGAGAUCCUGCGCCGAAAAUGUACCGGGGCUAAACUUACCACCGAAGCUACGGAUUUGCAAGUAAUUGCAAGUGGUAGGGGAGCGUCGUAAUCGGGCUGAAGUCGUACCGGAAGGAGCGGUGGACUGAUUACGAGUGAGAAUGUUGGCAUUAGUAGCGAGAUGUAGGUGAGAAUCCUACAGGCCGAAUAUCUAAGGUUUCCUCAGGAAGGCUCGUCCGCUGAGGGUUAGUCGGGACCUAAGCCGAGGCCGAAAGGCGUAGGCGAUGGACAAUCGGUUGAUAUUCCGAUACCACUACCAUCGUUAUUAUCGAGGGUGUGACGGAGAAGGAUAGUGUGUGCUAGCGAUUGGAAAUGCUAGUCUAAGCGUUUAGGGAGUUACGGUAGGCAAAUCCGCUGUAACAAUUCUGAGGCGUGAUGGGGAAGGUCAUUAAGACCGAAGUACAUGAUUCCAUGCUUCCAAGAAAAGCAUCUAGAGAGAGAAGUAGUGCCCGUACCGCAAACCGACACAGGUAGAUGAGGAGAGAAUCCUAAGGCCGGCGGAAGAAUUGCAGUUAAGGAACUAGGCAAAUUGACCCCGUAAGUUCGCGAGAAGGGGUGCCUGCGAGAGCAGGCCGCAGAGAAUAGGCCCAAGCAACUGUUUAGCAAAAACACAGGUCUCUGCUAAAGCGUAAGCUGAUGUAUAGGGGCUGACGCCUGCCCGGUGCUGGAAGGUUAAGGGGAACACUUAGCGCAAGCGAAGGUGUGAACUUAAGCCCCAGUAAACGGCGGCCGUAACUAUAACGGUCCUAAGGUAGCGAAAUUCCUUGUCAGGUAAGUUCUGACCCGCACGAAUGGCGUAAUGACUUGGGCACUGUCUCAACUGCAAAUCCGGCGAAGUUGUAGUGCGAGUGAAGAUGCUCGCUACCCGCGAUUGGACGGAAAGACCCCGUAGAGCUUUACUGUAGCUUAGCAUUGAAUUCCGGUAUUGUCUGUACAGGAUAGGUGGGAGACUGGGAAACUAGGGCGUCAGCCUUAGUGGAGUCAACCUUGGGAUACCACCCUGACAGUACUGGGGUUCUAACAGGACGCCAUGAAGCUGGUGACUGGACAUUGUUAGGUGGGCAGUUUGACUGGGGCGGUCGCCUCCUAAAAAGUAACGGAGGCGUUCAAAGGUUCGCUCAGCUUGAACGGAAAUCAAGCAAAAGAG
rnacentral:rRNA from 1 species